UGGCACUCACAUUACCUCUGUUCAUUCUAGGACUGCGUCGGACCAGCUGGGAGUCCGGCCCUGCGGUAGGCCAGGGGAUGUGAGGAUGAAGUACACGCGCCCUUGAGAGCUGCUAUUCCAGGUCCCCGCUCCUGUUAAAGGGUUAGCUGAGGUGACUGCGUGCAGGAAAUCACAGCAGAAGCACAGCACGCUUGCUGCCCUGAAAUGCCACUCUGUUUUCUGCUCUGGGGCUCUGGGGAUACAUGUUGAAAACCUGCAACGAAUAAACAGCAGAACCCACGACAUGAAGCCAAAAUCUCCUCUUUCAUCAUCAUUUUGCACCAGUAACAAAAGUGAAGUGAGAAGAGAGUCCAGGUCAAUGAAAAAUAUACAGCAACCUCAGCAAACCAGAAAGUGAGGAGAAGUUCCUCAAUUUGAAGAAUACCUACAAAAAACCCGACAGCACUUGGUUUCAUGAUGAGAAACUAGAAGAAACUAGAAGCUUUCCCACUGAGAUCAGGUACGAGGCAGGGAUGUCCCUCUCACCACUCUUUGUCAGCAUCAUACUGGGAUUCCCAGCUAAUGUGAUAAGGCAGGAAAGGAAACAAGAAGUGCACAGAUUAGGAAGGAAAAAAUAAAACUGUCUCUGUUUGCAGAUGACAUGAUCAUUUAGAAAAUCUUAACAAAUCCACAAAAAAACUCCCAGAACUAGUAAGCUUUUAGAGAAAAUUUGCAGGAUAUAAGGUUGAUACAUAAUAGUCACUUUUCUAUAAGCAUGCAAUAAACAAGUGGAAUUUGAAAUUAAAAGCAUAACACCAUUUACAUUAGCACCAAACGAAAUAAAUAUAAGUUUAGCAAAAUGUGUACAAGAUCUGAAUGAGGAAAACAACAGAACUAGUGAAAGAAGACAUCAAAGAAGAACUAAAUAAAUGGAGAGAUAUUCCAUGUUCAUGGAUAGGAUAACUUAAUACGAUCAAGGUGUCCUUUUGUCCCAAUCUGAUUUAUGAUUCAGCACAAUCCCACUCAAAAUCCCAGUAAGUUAUGUUGUGGAUGUUGAAAAGCUGAUUCUAAAAUUUAUAUGGAAAAGGAAAAAUCUAAGAAUAGCCAAGACAGAUGUGAACAAGAACAAAGUCAGAGGACUGACAUUACCCAAGUUAAAGACUUACUGUAAAGCUACAGUAAUCAAGACGGUGGUGUGGUAUUGGUAAAAGAAUAGGCAAAUAGAUCUAUGGGACACAGAAGAGUACAGAACAUGAAGAAGAAGAAACAGACCCACACAGGUAUAGUAAACUGACCUUCGAUAAAGGAUCAAAGACCAUACAAUGGAGAAAAGAUCAUCUUUUCAACAAAUGGUGUCAGAACAACUGGAACGUCUACAUGUGAAAAGAAUGAAAGUAGACACAGAUCUUCCAGCCCUCACAAAAAUUACCUCAAAAGGGAUCAUAGGCUUCGAAUGUAAAAUGCAAAAUCAUUAAACUUGUAGAAGAUAAGAAAAAAAAUCUACGUGGCCUUGGUAAGGCAGUAACUUUUUAGAUACAUCAAAGGCACAAUUAAUGAAAUAGUUUAUAAGCCGGAUUUCAUUAAAGUCAAAAGCAUCUCUGUGAAAAACACCAUCAAGAGAACAAGGAAGGAGACUGUGUAUCCUAAGAGGGGCAGGGAAUAUAUGAGAAUUCUCUGUACUUUCUGCACAAUUUUACUGUGAGCCUAAAAUUGCUCUAAAAAUAAAGUUAUAUAAAUAAA